rnacentral:rRNA from 1 species
UAGUUUAAGUUUAACACUACUUCAAACUGCGAUUGGCUCAUUAAAUCAGUUAUCGUUUGUUUAAUAGAACCUUACUACUUGGAUAACCGUGGUAAUUCUAAAGCUAAUACAUGCUAAAGACCCCAACUCACGGAAGAGAGUAUUUAUUAGAUUAAAAACCGACGCCCUCCGGGGCUCCCUGGUGAUUCAUGAAAACUGUCCCGCAUCGCACGGCCUUGCGCCGGGCGAUGGGUUCAUUCAAAUUUCUGCCCUAUCAACUUUCGAUUGGCUGGGUCUUGGCCAGCCAUGGUGACAACGGGUAAAGGAAAGGUCAGGGCUCGACCCCGGAGAGGGAGCCCUGAGAAACGGCUACCACAUCCAAGGAAGGCAGCGGGCGCGCAAAUUACCCAAUCCCGACCCUGGGGAGGUAGUGACAAUAAAUACUGGAGGCCUCUUUUAGUCGGGUCUUGCAACUGUAAUGAAUACAAUUUAAAUCCCUUAACGAGGAACAUUUGGAGGGCAAGUCGGGUGCCAGCAGCCGCGGUAAUUUUAGCCUCAACAACUUUAAUAUACGCUAUUGAGGUUAAAAAGCUCGUAGUUGAACCUUUGGGCCCGGCUGGCCGGCCCGCCUCACCGCGUGCACUGGUCCGGCCGGGUCUUUCCCUCUGGGGAGCAACUUGCCCUUUUUUGGGCGUGUCGGGGCCAACCAGGGCUUUUACCGUAAAUAAAUUGGAUCGUGCUUAAAGAAGGCCUAUUCUCGAAAAAAACAUUAAUGGGCAUGGGAAUAAUGAAAAUAGGACGCCGUGGUUCUAUUUUUGUUGUUUCUAGGACCGACCGGAAUGAUUAAUAGGGACAGUCGGGGGCCGUCUUUUUUUAUUCAAAUGUCAGAGGUGAAAAUUUUUGGAUUUUUUUAAGACGAACCUACUGCGAAAGCAUUUCUCGCCUUUAGCCAAGGGAAGUUUUCAUUAAUUCAGGAACGAAAGCCAGGGGAUCGGUUACGAUCAGAUACCGUCGUAGUCUUAACCAUAAAAUAUGCCGAUUAGGGAUCGGUCGGUGUUUUUAAUUUGAUGAGCAUCUUCUAUC